rnacentral:rRNA from 1 species
CCUACGGGCGGUAGCAGUGAGGAAUAUUGGUCAAUGGGCGCGAGCCUGAACCAGCCAAGUCGCGUGAAGGAUGACGGUCCUAUGGAUUGUAAACUUCUUUUGUGCAGGAAUAAAGUGAGGAACGUGUUCCUUUUUGUAUGUACUGUACGAAUAAGCAUCGGCUAACUCCGUGCCAGCAGCCGCGGUAAUACGGAGGAUGCGAGCGUUAUCCGGAUGAAAGGGGUUUAAGGGGUGCGUAGGAGGCAGUGGUGAAAGUUUGCAGCUUAACUGUAAAAUUGCCAUUGAAACUGUUAGUCUUGAGUACAAAUGAGGUAGGCGGAAUGUGUUGUGUAGCGGUGAAAUGCUUAGAUAUAACACAGAACUCCGAUUGCGAAGGCAGCUUACUGGGAUGCAACUGACGCUGAUGCACGAAAGCGUGGGUAUCAAACAGGAUUAGAUACCCUUGUAGUC